rnacentral:snRNA from 12 species
UUGUUUGCCUGGCAAGGGAGAUGCCAUCAUUGUAGAAGGUGAAUUUUCUAGGGUGGAGCCAAUCCUUUGCACUCCAGAUGUGCUGAUACCCGUAAUUUCCCAGCUGUUGAUCACUGUACUUUCCCAGGAACUUCAGUUGCAUAAUUUUUUGGUAGGGGGAAACUGUCUACACCUUUCCCUG